rnacentral:rRNA from 1 species
AGACAAGCUAUGAAGGGCACAUGGUGGAUGCCUUGGCAUCAAGAGCCGAUGAAGGACGUAGGAGCCUGCGAUAAGCCCUGGGGAGUUGGCAACCAAGCUGUGAUCCGGGGGUGUCCGAAUGGGGAAACCCAGCUGGAGUCAUGUCCAGUUACCCGCACCUGAAUAUAUAGGGUGUGUGGAGGGAACGUGGGGAAGUGAAACAUCUCAGUACCCACAGGAAGAGAAAACAAUAGUGAUUCCGAGAGUAGUGGCGAGCGAAAUCGGAUGAGGCCAAACCACGUACAUGUGAUACCCGGCAGGGGUUGUGUAUGUGGGGUUGUGGGAUCGCAUGGGUGGGUCUGCCGGCCUACCACACAGUAAGAAACCCAGGUUGAAGUUGAAGUCCGCUGGAAAGUGGCGCCGUAGAGGGUGAUAGCCCCGUAAGUGUAAGGCCUGGGCUGUGAUGCGUUAUCCCAAGUAACACGGAACCCCUGAAAUUCCGUGUGAAUCUGGCGGGACCACCCGUUAAGCCUAAAUACUCCUUGAUGACCGAUAGCGGACAAGUACCGUGAGGGAAAGGUGAAAAGUACCCCUGGCGGGGAGUGAAAUAGUACCUGAAACCGUGUGCCUACAAUCCGUCGGAGCCUUACUCAUCCUUGUGGUGAUGGGGUGACGGCGUGCCUUUUGAAGAAUGAGCCUGCGAGUUUGCGUUGUGUUGCGAGGUUAACCCGUGUGGGGAAGCCGUAGCGAAAGCGAGUCCGAAUAGGGCGUCUGAGUAGCACGAUCAAGACCCGAAGCGAAGUGAUCUAUCCAUGGGCAGGUUGAAGCGCGGGUAAGACCGCGUGGAGGACCGAACCCACUUAGGUUGAAAACUGAGGGGAUGACCUGUGGAUAGGGGUGAAAGGCCAAUCAAACUUCGUGAUAGCUGGUUCUCCCCGAAAUGCAUUUAGGUGCAGCGUUGCGUGUUUCUUGCCGGAGGUAGAGCACUGGAUAGCCGAUGGGCCCGACCAGGUUACUGACGUUAACCAAACUCCGAAUGCCGGUAAGUGAGAGCGCAGCAGUGAGACUGCGGGGGAUAAGCUCCGUAGUCGAGAGGGAAACAGCCCAGACCAUCAGCUAAGGCCCCUAAGCGGUGACUAAGUGGAAAAGGAUGUGGAGUCGCACUGACAACCAGGAGGUUGGCUUGGAAGCAGCCACCCUUGAAAGAGUGCGUAAUAGCUCACUGGUCAAGUGAUUCCGCGCCGACAAUGUAGCGGGGCUCAAGUCAUCCGCCGAAGCUAUGGCAUUCACAUAAGCCCAGCACCCACUUGAUGGGUGUUCAGGUGUGUGGAUGGGUAGGGGAGCGUCGUGUCGCGAGUGAAGCGCCGGAGUGAUCCAGGUGUGGAUGCGACACGAGUGAGAAUGCAGGCAUGAGUAGCGAAUCACGUGUGAGAAACACGUGCGCCGAAUGAUCAAGGGUUCCAGGGUCAAGCUAAUCUGCCCUGGGUAAGUCGGGACCUAAGGCGAGGCCGACAGGCGUAGUCGAUGGACAACGGGUUGAUAUUCCCGUACCGGCAAAGUAGCGCCCAUGACGAACCCGGUGAUGCUAACCAUCUGAAACUCAGCCGACCGGACCCUUCGGGGCGAGGCGGUUGAGCGUAGCGUGGGACCCGAACUGGUAGUAGUCAAGCGAUGGGGUGACGCAGGAAGGUAGUCCAACCGUACCGAUGGUUGUGUACGGCUAAGCAUGUAGGGCGAGAUCUAGGCAAAUCCGGAUCUCUGACUUCGAUGUCGGGCUUGAGAUGUGAUGGGGACCCCGUUGGGGGGAAGUGGAUGAUCCUAUGCUGUCGAGAAAAACCUCUAGCGAGCUAUGCGCCGCCCGUACCCCAAACCGACUCAGGUGAUCAGGUAGAGAAUACUAAGGCGAUCGAGCGAACCACGGUUAAGGAACUCGGCAAAAUGCCCCCGUAACUUCGGGAGAAGGGGGGCCCGGAACGUGAACACCCUUGCGGUGGGAGCGGGAAGGGCCGCAGAGACCAGGCCCAAGCGACUGUUUACUAAAAACACAGGUCCGUGCGAAGUUGUAAGACGAUGUAUACGGACUGACUCCUGCCCGGUGCUGGAAGGUUAAGAGGACCUGUUAGGUAGCAAUACCGAAGCGGAGAAUUUAAGCCCCAGUAAACGGCGGUGGUAACUAUAACCAUCCUAAGGUAGCGAAAUUCCUUGUCGGGUAAGUUCCGACCUGCACGAAUGGAGUAACGACUUGGGCGCUGUCUCAACCGUGGACUCGGCGAAAUUGCACUACGAGUAAAGAUGCUCGUUACGCGCGGCAGGACGGAAAGACCCCGGGACCUUUACUAUAGUUUGGUAUUGGUGUUUGGUUCGGCUUGUGUAGGAUAGGUGGGAGACUGUGAAGCAUUCACGCCAGUGAGUGUGGAGUCAUCGUUGAAAUACCACUCUGGUCGUACUAGAUGUCUAACCUAGGUCCGUUAUCCGGAUCAGGGACAGUGCCUGAUGGGUAGUUUAACUGGGGCGGUUGCCUCCUAAAGAGUAACGGAGGCGCUCAAAGGUUCCCUCAGCCUGGUUGGCAAUCAGGUGGCGAGUGUAAGUGCACAAGGGAGCUUGACUGUGAGACAGACAUGUCGAGCAGGGACGAAAGUCGGAACUAGUGAUCCGGCGUCGGCAUGUGGAAGCGACGUCGCUCAACGGAUAAAAGGUACCCCGGGGAUAACAGGCUGAUCUUCCCCAAGAGUCCAUAUCGACGGGAUGGUUUGGCACCUCGAUGUCGGCUCGUCGCAUCCUGGGGCUGGAGUAGGUCCCAAGGGUUGGGCUGUUCGCCCAUUAAAGCGGCACGCGAGCUGGGUUUAGAACGUCGUGAGACAGUUCGGUCCCUAUCCGCCGCGCGCGCAGGAAACUUGAGAAAGGCUGUCCCUAGUACGAGAGGACCGGGAUGGACGAACCUCUGGUGUGCCAGUUGUCCCGCCAGGGGCACGGCUGGUUAGCUACGUUCGGAAGUGAUAACCGCUGAAUGCAUCUAAGCGGGAAGCACGUUUCAAGAUGAGGUUUCCCACCGGGUCAACCGGGUAAGGCCCCCAGCAGAACACUGGGUUGAUAGGCCGGAGGUGUACAGCAGCAAUGCCUAGCCGACCGGUACUAAUAGGCCGAGGGCUUGUCCCA